rnacentral:rRNA from 1 species
UACGUAGGUGGCAAGCGUUGUCCGGAUUUACUGGGCGUAAAGCGCGCGCAGGCGGAUUGGUCAGUCCGGGGUGAAAUCUCACGGCUCAACUGUGAGCGGUCCCCGGAUACUGCCAGUCUCGAGGUGUCUAGAGGAGAGCGGAAUUCCCGGUGUAGUGGUGGAAUGCGUAGAUAUCGGGAAGAACGCCAGUGGCGAAAGCGGCUCUCUGGGGACCACCUGACGCUGAGGCGCGAAAGCGUGGGGAGCGAACCGG